rnacentral:rRNA from 1 species
GCAAGUCGAACGAGAAAGCACUUCGGUGUGAGUACGUGGCGCACGGGUGAGUAACGUGUAGAUGAUGUGCCUUUUAGUGGGGGACAACCUCGGGAAACCGGGGCUAAUACCGCAUAAGCUUAGUGACAUUGAAAAAACUAAGGAAAGGGGGCUUCGGCUCUCGCUAGAAGAUCGGUCUGCGUGACAUUAGCUUGUUGGUGGGGUAAUGGCCUACCAAGGCAACGAUGUCUAGCUGGUCUGAGAGGAUGAUC